rnacentral:rRNA from 1 species
AUACGUAGGUGGCAAGCGUUGUCCGGAUUUACUGGGUUUAAAGGGUGCGCAGGCGGGAGAUUAAGUCGGCGGUGAAAUUUUGCAGCUCAACUGUAAAAGUGCCUUCGAAACUGGUUUCCUUGAGUGUAGAUGAAGGAGGCGGAAUUUGUGGUGUAGCGGUGAAAUGCAUAGAUAUCACGAGGAACUCCGAUUGCGCAGGCAGCUUACUAAACUACUACUGACGCUCAGGCACGAAGGCGUGGGGAUCAAACAGGAUUAGAUACCCUGGUAGUCCACGCAGUAAACGAUGAUUACUAGCUGUUUGCGAUACAAUGUAAGCGGCUGAGCGAAAGCGUUAAGUAAUCCACCUGGGGAGUACGUUCGCAAGAAUGAAACUCAAAGGAAUUGACGGGG